UACGGAGGGUGCGAGCGUUGUCCGGAAUCAUUGGGCGUAAAGGGCUCGUAGGUGGCCAACUAAGUCAGACGUGAAAUCCCUCGGCUUAACCGGGGAACUGCGUCUGAUACUGGAUGGCUUGAGUUUGGGAGAGGGACGCGGAAUUCCAGGUGUAGCGGUGAAAUGCGUAGAUAUCUGGAGGAACAUCGGUGGCGAAGGCGGCGUCCUGGACCAACACUGACACUGAUGAGCGAAAGCCAGGGGAGCAAACGGG
rnacentral:rRNA from 1 species